UGUCCGUUCUUGUACCAGAUGUAGGUGGGGUUGUCAGUCAGAGUACAGGUGGUGAUACAGGUCAGUGUCUUCUGUCCCUCUGCAGCAGGAG